GCAGAUUAUCGGAUAAUCGCUCGCUUGGUUAUAGCGAGAGGAAAGUCCGGGCAGUAUAGGGCAUGGCAGUCGCUAACGGCGACCGGAGGUGACUCUAGGGAAAGUGCCACAGAAACGAAACCGCUAUCUCAAACCUAGUUAGGCGACUGAUAGUAAGGGUGAAAGGAGCGAGGUAAGAGCUCGCAGCGACGCACGGUGACGUGCGGAGGAGGUAAACCCUGUCAACUGCAAGGAGGCGUGUCUAUAGAAUUGCUCGUUCGGGCAUGCCGCUAUCCGCUUGAAUUAUUCAGCAAUGAAUAAUCUAGAUAGAUGAUUAUCCUCGACAGAACCCGGCUUACAGAUUAUCUGCCAAC
rnacentral:RNase_P_RNA from 1 species